rnacentral:rRNA from 1 species
UGAGCAAUCUGCCCUUCUCUUCGGAAUAAGCGUUGGAAACGACGUCUAAUGCCGAAUACGACCUCCUUUCGCAUGAUCGGAGGUGGAAAGCUCCGGCGGAGAAGGAUGAGCUCGCGGCCUAUCAGCUUGUUGGUGAGGUAAUAGCUCACCAAGGCGAUGACGGGUAGCCGGCCUGAGAGGGUGACCGGCCACACUGGGACUGAGACACGGCCCAGACUCCUAGGGAGG